UAAUCCUAGUUCAAUGUGCUCUUAUCCUUCUAAGCGAACGUGACAACCUGCCAAAGGGAGGAGUUUUCCCCCCAGGUAUUGUAUUUGGCCCUACUGAUCUUCAAGAACGACUCCAACAGAAAGGAAUAUCUUUCGAUGUCAUUUCAAAGAAAGCUCUCCCUGCUUAACUGGUGCAGGCUUCAUCGAGCUCUAGGAAAUAUAACAAAACUUUUACCUGUUUUAAACAAGAUAGUUAUGAUAGGAG
rnacentral:misc_RNA from 1 species